UACGUAGGGGGCAAGCGUUGUCCGGAUUUAUUGGGCGUAAAGAGCGUGUAGGCGGCCUGACAGGUCUGCUGUGAAAACUCGAGGCUCAACCUCGAGAUGUCGGCGGAAACCGUCUGGCUAGAGUCCGGAAGAGGCGAGUGGAACUCCUGGUGUAGCGGUGGAAUGCGCAGAUAUCAGGAAGAACACCAACGGCGAAGGCAGCUCGCUGGGACGGAACUGACGCUGAGGCGCGAAAGCGUGGGGAGCGAACAGG
rnacentral:rRNA from 1 species